CUUUAUUAUAUUGAACCAAAGUCAUAUUCUUGUAGCUUCCUCUCCUCUCUUUUUCUACUUGGGAAUACGCAGUUUAAGUGUGCUCAGAUCUAGUAUGAUGUGGUUGGAAAGGGCAUGACCUGGAGUAUGACACAUUCUACAUAAACGUCUUGUCAGAACUGUUCAUCUUAUGUGAUCUCUCCUUGCCUCAGUGUUUUUCAUUUGCAAAACUGGAGACAACACACCUUCUUAUAGGUAACUGAGGCCCAAGUGAGACAAGAUACAAAUGGCUUAGCAGAGUGCCUGGCUCAUAUUAAGACAAAUGACAUUAAGCUCCUCCCUCCAUUCAUAUGCUUCCCUGGUGGUUCGGAUGGUAAAGAAUCUGCCUGAAUGUGGGAGACCCAGGUUCUAUCCUUGGGAUGUGAAAAUCCCCUGGAGAAGGGAAUGGCAACCUACUCCAGUAUUCCUGCCUGGAAAAUUCCAUGGACAGUAGAGCCUGGUGGGCUACAGUCCAUAGGGUCACAAAGAGUCAAACAUCACUGAGCUACUUUCACUUCACUUCAUUCUCCAUUCGUUCCCUCUUUCCCUUCCUUCCAUCCGUCCUUCCACAAAACAUUUGCUACGUCUGUAAUCUGUGUUGCCUAGUGUUAAUAGUAAACAAAAUAGACACUAUUUCUUCUCCACAGAGCUUCAGGUAAAUAGGUAUAUUUUUAAAAUAACUUAAAUAUGCAAUUAGAGGUUGUACUGAGUAUAUGGUACUGGGAUAUAGGAGAAAGCUAGAUAGAGAAGAGUCUCCUCUUUAUGAAGAUUUUAUUCUAGGGGACAAGAGAAAACAUAAACAAGAAAUAAGUAAAUGCAAAAGAUAAUAUCAGAUAAUGAUGAGUGCUGUGAAGGAACACAAGCCAAAUGAUGUAAUUAUGAUGGAACAAAUGAAGCCUCUUUGGACUGUGUGACUACAGAGGCUUCUCUGAGGAGGUGGCCUUUGGAUUGAGCCCCAAGAGGCAAGGAGUCGCUGCAUGGAGAUAUGAAGAAGAAUGUCCUAGGAAAAUGGAACAGCUGGACAGAAGGAAUUCAUGUGUCUGAGGAGCAGAAGGAAGGCCUUUGUCACUGGAGCUAAUGGUGCUGAAAGAAGAUCAUCUCUGUGGGGCCAUUACAGGAUAAUGCACAGGAAUAAAUAAGCACAACGAUAGGUCUCAGCAAAGACAACCGGGUCUCAAGUUGGUCCCACAUUUGGAAAUGGUGCAUGUACAAUGAGCAGGUUUAUCGGUCUGUCCGGGAUGCUGGAGCCAGUUGUAUUCCGGUGUUCGGUUGUUAAGGAAAAGCCUGGGAUGAAACCAGAGAGGAUUCUAAUAAUGAGAAAUUUAAGCUCAGAAAGGUUUUCUUCCUCUCCCCACAACAGAAGAGCAAAGAAGGAGGAGAGCAGACUAGAGCUUUAAGAAGUAUUUACCCCAGAAAAAAGAGAAACACUUCUAGUGUUUAGUUGAUUUUAUGCAAUGACUUCCUGCUUGUAAUCCUUGGAUAAGUAAAUGUAUAUUUGUCCUUUUCCAUAGUAUAAUAACUGUGUAUUGUCACCUUCCUUAUUUAACUUCUGUGCACAGUAUGUCAUGUGAAAUGCCAGGCUGGAUGAAUCACAAACUGGCAUCAAGUUUACCAGGAGAAAUAUCAACCUCAGAUAUGCAGAUGACACCACUAUAAUAGCAGAAAGUGAAGAGGAACUAAAGAGCCUCUUGAUGAGGGUGAAAGAAGAGAGUGAAAAAGCUGACUUAAAAAUAAACAUUCAAAAAAACCAAGAUCAUGGCAUCCAGUCCUAUCACUUCAUGUCAAAUAGAUGGAGAAAAAGUGGAAACAGUGAGAGAUUUUCUUUUCUUGCACUCCAAAAUCACCGUGUAUGGUGACUGCAGUCAUGAAAUUAAAAGAAUCAUGCUCCUUUGAAGGAAAGUUAUGACCAACCUAAAGAGCAUAUUAAAAAACAGAGAUGUCACUUUGCUGACAAAGGUCCAUAUAGUCAAGGCUAUGGUUUUUCCAGUAGUCAUGUAUGGUUAUGAGAGUUGGACCAUAAAGAAGGCUGAGUGCUGAAAAAUUAAUGCUUUUGAACUGUGGUGCUGGAGAAGACUCUUGAGAGUCCUUAGGACAGCAAGGUGAUCAAACCAGUCAAUCCUAAAAGAAAUCAACCCUAACUAUUCAUUGGAAGGACUGAUGCUAAAGCUCCAGUACUUCGGCCACCUGAUUUGAAGAGCCAGCUCAUCAGAAAAGACCCUGAUGCUGGGAAAGAUUGAGUGUAGGAGAAGAAAGGGGUGACAUAAGAUGAGAUGGUUGGAUGGUAUCAUGGACACAGUGAACAGGAUUUUGAGCAAACUCAGGGAGACAGUGAAGGA
ensembl:lncRNA